AACCGAGCCAGGAAUAGAAGGAAAAAAAAAAAAAAAAAGAGUCCUUGGGAAUUGAGAAGCCAAUGAGGAUACUCGCUUAAGCUGAAGUCAUCGUAUCUGUGAGCCAGCUGGGGACGCUGUCGCAACACGCAAACAGCAAGGUGUAAGGUACAUAUUAAUAAUCUGCUUGAUGGGAUAAGAUUCCAAAAUAUUUUUUCCCCUGAAAACUUUGGACCCUUUCGACACGGUGGUAUUUUUUUGUGCCAUGGCCAUAGUAUGCAGAAUUCCCAGGCCAGGAUCCUUAACCUGCGAAGCCAUCAGGUAACUCCUAGUGGGUUUUUUAAUG
rnacentral:lncRNA from 1 species